rnacentral:rRNA from 1 species
UACGUAGGGUGCGAGCGUUGUCCGGAAUUAUUGGGCGUAAAGGGCGCGUAGGCGGUUCGUACAGUCAGACGUGAAAUUCCUGGGCUCAACCUGGGGGCUGCGUUUGAUACGUGCGGACUUGAGUGCGGAAGAGGGUCGUGGAAUUCCCAGUGUAGAGGUGAAAUUCGUAGAUAUUGGGAAGAACACCGGUGGCGAAGGCGGCGACCUGGUCCGAUACUGACGCUGAGGCGCGAAAGCGUGGGGAGCAAACAGG